rnacentral:lncRNA from 1 species
GUUUCUAUCACAUCCUGAGGACCACUAACCCACCAGCAAGUCUCCCCCUGACACACAUUCACGUAGGUCCAUACCCUUCAGAGUCCUAAAGGGUUAAUGAGAAGCCACCUCAGCUUUGGUGAAUGGAGCCCCAGCCCCAAAUCCCCUCCCCUUGCAAAUAUGGGACAAGUAGGGAGAGUCUGAUGGAGGCACCAGGACAACUACAACAACCUCUUACCCCUCAGCUAUAGACACCUAGAUCAGGACAGAGGAUGCAUAUGCCCUCUCCACCUUAACAUCAAAAUGGGGGAGGAGGAGAAUUUAGGGGUCUGGGUCCCUAAGAGAUAUUAGGACAUCUCUUCCAGGAGCUGGGGGGAAUCACGGGUUAAAGGUCAAGGUUAGGGUAGCAAUCAAAGAUCAAGGUCAUCUCCCCGCAUGAUCUGCCCUUUUUCCCUUGCUUACGGUGGCCCAAUGCCCCUUCAGCACCUCCCAGGUUAGCUCUGGGGGAGGUGAGGGCUGGGAGACCUCCAUGGUGUGCCCCGGGGGCCCCGAAGAAAGAGUUCCAGACUCGCUGCUCUGGGACAGGGUGCGAGAGCGGGACCGGUUGCCAUCAACGGAUGCUGCACUGGUCAGAGAGGCUGUACGAGACCGGGACAGGCGAGUCAUGCAGGAUGAGGCCA